rnacentral:rRNA from 1 species
UACGGAGGGUGCAAACGUUGCUCGGAAUUAUUGGGCGUAAAGCGCACGUAGGCGGUCCAGUAAGUCGGGUGUGAAAUCCCUCGGCUCAACCGAGGAAGUGCAUUCGAAACUACUGAACUUGAGUAUGGAAGAGGGUCGCGGAAUUCCCGGUGUAGAGGUGAAAUUCGUAGAUAUCGGGAGGAACACCAGUGGCGAAGGCAAUCCCCUGGGCCUGCACUGACGCUCAUGCACGAAAGCGUGGGGAGCAAACAGG